GGUUGUGACUCAGUGGUAGAGUGCUUGCUUAGCAUGCAUGAGGCCCUGGGUUCGAUCCCCAGUACCA
rnacentral:tRNA from 1 species